AAAGACAAUGAAAUGAAAGAGGAGGACACAGGAGAACACAGACAGUUAGACAUCUGGGAGGAAAAGCCAAGAGACAACUGGAAGUCUCUGUUCACCACCACUGCCACAGCUUGAGAAUAAUUGUCCCAUUGGGGCUGCUCUGCAAAGUCACUGAGGACAUCCGUGCAGUGUUUACUAUUAUCAGUUAACUGAGUGAUUUUUGGCAAGUUUCUUCAUCUUUACCCAGUGCCUUCACAUUGAGUAAUCUCUGCCACUCUGUACCUUUCAUAAACUAUGAUUUAGUCUGAGGUUUUCUAGCUAGGUCAGGCUCUAUAGGCAAAUAUAUCUCAAUAUAUAUGCAAAUAAACACUUAGAAGAUCAAAAGAACCUAAACUGUGUUUUUAUCAAGUUUCAUCUAGAUUCCCUGGUGCUGUAGUUGACAGUCAUAGCAUAAGAUGAUAGACUUGUGCCUGUCAUAUAAUUUGCACUUUUAAAAUAUGAUUAAAUUAAUAUUUCAGUGAAAAACAUAUUUCUUUAAGAUUGCAACAGUACAUACUAGAAAACAGUCAGUGGUAGAAUAGAUGUUAAACUUUACUUCAUUAACAG
rnacentral:lncRNA from 1 species